CCUGGACAGAAGGUAGAACCACCACUUGGGGAGAGAAUUAAAAAUAUUUUUUUAAUCGUUCCGCGGGCUAAAUAUUUAUUUUUUAUUAACCCAGAUGUUUAGCAGAGUCUCUGGAGAGUUUGUCGAUACCUUCAGAACAGCGUGGCAGCAGAGAGAUGGGGAGUAACAUGCUACAAAGGUCCCCAACCCUGCAGGAUGCUCCAUAGGCUGGUCAAGGGUUGCCACUUUGCCUGAGGGAAGAAAAGCACAUGUGACACUGGAUCCCGGCAGGGCUAAUGUCAUUACCCGAGCAGGUGACCCCCUCCCUCUGCAAACCUCAGACCUGCUGCUGGAGGUUCAGAAACCCACUUCCUGGUACUUCAUCUCAAGAAAACAUCUGUAAUGGACUACAGGCUUUCUAAUCAGCUCGCAGAGAGGAAGCCCAUUGGAACCGAAACGUGACUAGACUCCCACCAAGCUGUGACCACUGUCCCAGGGGGCAUGACUGUAGGAAACAAACACUGUGAUCAUAUUCUUGUAAUCAUUUUUUAGCUGUGUGUUCUGUGCUGUGGGAUCAGUGCAUCUUGAGAACUCUGGAAUUAAAUAUCUUGUUAAACAAGGGUGGAUAGACUCACACACACAUUUCAUUGUAGUGACUUUUGGCCUCAAUAACAGAUGCAGUUACGAUUUUGCAAAGAAAAUGUGGAAUUUGUUUCUUAAAGUGAUGCGAUCUUUGACGUUCAGUCAUCCAGCCUCAGGAGAAAGAAAUCAGAGCAAAUCAUUCACAUUUUAGGCUUUGCCAGUGAUGGGUAAUGCAUCACAUACUGUAUUGUAUAGAUUUGUACUACUGCUAUAGAAAUAUAUAUAUAUGAAAUUUGUUUAGACAGGGUCUUUUUGGGACAUAUGCUUAUUUGUUUUCUUCACCAAGAUUUAGAGUAGAAGAUUGAUGCCACUUUCAUGUCUGUCUGGUAAAUGUGAAGCUACAGUAGGCAGUUGGUUAGCUUAGCAUAGUGUAAAGACUGGGUACAGUGGGACACAGCUAGCCCUGGCUCUAUUCAGCAGUUGUAAAAUCAUCCUAGUUCAAUGUCACUCACGUAUCUGUACUUUAAAUAUGGCCCUGGAACCAGGAGACACUUAGCUUAGCUUAGCAAAAAGGCUGGAAGCAGAGAGAAACAGCUAGCCUUUUUACCUCUAAAGUCUCUAAAAGUCACUAACAAACACAUUUUAUCUUGUUAGUGUGGCACGUAACCCCCUGCCAUGCUUUUCUUUAGAGGUGUUGUAGGCUGGUUAUGUUACCUUAGUAGUGAGUCAGUGUAGCUGUUUCCCCUCGUUUCCAGUCUCUAUGAUAAGCUAAGCUAACUGCUUCCGGCCUCCAUUUUCAUAGUUGCCAAACAGACAUGACAGCGGUUUCGGUCUUCUUAUCUGACUCUUGGCAAGAGAACAAAAGAGCCCAUUUCCUAAACUGUCAAACUAUUACUUUAAUGGGCUGAAAUUACAUUUUCCACUGUGAAACUCAUAGUGUUUUCUCUUUGUUAUGACACAAAAUGUGUGUUUAAGAAUUAUUUUAAUGCAUAAAUGCAUGAAGGCUAAAGCAACAAACAAAGCUGUACUGCUGCUCAAAUCUUGUACUUUUCCUUGUAGUUUAGGGGUAAGUCUCAAAACUUCAAUUUUCCACAGAGGACAUUUCAAGAUUUGUGGGUGCUGUUGUGUGCUAUAACAGAGUCUCUAAGUGGGGAGGCCAUGUUCUAGUUCUCCUCUCGACUAGUAGAAAUGGAAACCAGCUGUCCGCAUGGUUGAGGUGCAGGUAAAUGUGUAAAAAUAGACUUUCCACAUGUGCAGACAGUUCAGAAAAGAGGAGAUCAAGGAUGAAAAUGAAAUACUUCAUGCUUGAAUUUAAGACUCAGCAUAUCACAGGUUUCAUAAAGGCUGUCUUAUUCAUGUCCGCUCAGAACUUACAUCAUCUCACUUAAAUCCAUCUCAGCUUUUUUAUUUUGAGAUUGUUUAUGUCAAUCCAGCAUGAACUUCUACAUUUUUAGGUCUGUUUCUUUUCUUAAACAUCUUCCCUGUCAAGAAAAUUCCUGAUUCCCUCCCUAAAGCGUGAGUGUUGGAGUGUUGUGCAGGAUGAUAUACUGGCUCCUUGAGAGUGAUGACUGUCAGACAAGGGCCUGAUGAUGAUGCAUUUUUCUCGCCAAUGUUCGGUCUCUGGCGAACAAAACGGAUAAGCUGUGGCUGCGGAUCAUCUCCCACAAAUGGAUAAUGGACUGCAACAUCAGGAUUUUUCACAGAAACAUGACAACAGCGGCGUUGAUGAUAGCGCAAUUGCAUUAACAGGGCGACCCUGUGGACCAUGUCUACACCAACAUGGCUGAGCCCUGUAAAGCCUUCCCCCACCUACGACAGUCUGACCUCUCAUUCUUCUUACACACCACGCAUCAAACGUUUGAAACCGUCAGUGAGGACAGCUGAAGUGUGGCCAGAGGGAGCCGUCUCUCUACUACAGCUUCAGUUUGAAAACACAAACUGGACUGUGUUUGCUGCUCUGGCCUCCCAGGACUCCCACACAGAUAUGCCUACAGUUCAUCCAGGGCUAACCUGAAGAGGGGCAUUAGGAGGGCCAAGCAC